AUUUAGUUGCCACCGAGUAAUGUCGAGCACUCUAAAGGAACUGCCUACGCAAGUAGCGAGGAAGGCGGGGAUGACGUCAAGUCCGCAUGGCCCUUACGCCUAGGGCUACACACGUGCUACAAUGGAUGCUACAACGGGUAGCGAAGUCGCGAGACGGAGCCAAUCCCUUAAAAGCAUCCCCAGUUCGGAUUGGAGUCUGCAACUCGACUCCAUGAAGUUGGAAUUGCUAGUAAUCGCGUAUCAGCAUGACGCGGUGAAUACGUUCCCGGG
rnacentral:rRNA from 1 species